UUUGUUUUUUAAUUAAAAACUAGAAUGAAAGAUUUUACAUUUUAAUUUCUUUAUUAAAUAUAAUAUAUUAACUUAUAUUAAAUAUAAAAAUAUAUUUAUAAAAUAAAAAGACGACAAGACCCUAUUAAAUUUUACUUAUUGUUUAGCUGGGGCAGCUUUUUAAAUAAAACUUUAAAAUUUAUAAUAUAAUAAUAUAUCUAUACUAAAAUUAAAAAAUCUAUUAUAAAUAAAUUAAUCUAAUUACUAUAGGGAUAACAGCGUUAUAUUUUUUUCAAGUUCAUAUUUAAAAAAAUCAUUGCGACCUCGAUGUUGAAUUAUAUUUCUUUAUUAAUGCAAUA
rnacentral:rRNA from 1 species